UACCAAGGCGACGAUCGGUAGCCGGCCUGAGAGGUUGAACGGCCACAUUGGGACUGAGACACGGCCCAGACUCCUACGGGAGGCAGCAGUGGGGAAUAUUGCACAAUGGGGGAAACCCUGAUGCAGCGACGCCGCGUGGAGGAAGAAGGUUUUCGGAUUGUAAACUCCUGUUGUCGAGGAAGAUAAUGACGGUACUCAACAAGGAAGUGCCGGCUAACUACGUGCCAGCAGCCGCGGUAAAACGUAGGUCACAAGCGUUGUCCGGAAUUACUGGGUGUAAAGGGAGCGCAGGCGGGAAGACAAGUUGGAAGUGAAAUCCAUGGGCUCAACCCAUGAACUGCUUUCAAAACUGUUUUUCUUGAGUACUGCAGAGGUAGGCGGAAUUCCCGGUGUAGCGGUGGAAUGCGUAGAUAUUGGGAGGAACACCAGUGGCGAAGGCGGCUUACUGGGCACCAACUGACGUUGAGGCUCGAAAGUGUGGGUAGCAAACAGGAUUAGAUACCCUGGUAGUCCACACUGUAAACGAUGAUUACUAGGUGUCGGAGGAUUGACCCCUUCAGUGCCGCAGCUAACACAAUAAGUAAUCCACCUGGGGAGUACGACCGCAAGGUUGAAACUCAAAGGAAUUGACGG
rnacentral:rRNA from 1 species